rnacentral:rRNA from 1 species
UACGUAGGGAGCAAGCGUUGCCCGGAAUCAUUGGGCGUAAAGCGCGCGUAGGCGGCCUCAUAAGUCUGUUGUGAAAGUCAAAGGCUCAACCUUUGAAAGCCGAUGGAUACUGUCAGGCUAGAGUCCGGAAGAGGCGAGUGGAAUUCCUGGUGUAGCGGUGGAAUGCGCAGAUAUCAGGAGGAACACCAGUAGCGAAGGCAGCUCGCUGGGACGGUACUGACGCUAAGGCGCGAAAGCGUGGGGAGCGAACAGG